GACGUAGGGCGCAAGCGUUGUCCGGAAUUAUUGGGCGUAAAGAGCUCGUAGGCGGUCUGUUACGUCUGCUGUGAAAACCCGGGGCUUAACCCUGGGCUUGCAGUGGAUACGGGCAGACUAGAGGCAGGUAGGGGAGAAUGGAAUUCCCGGUGUAGCGGUGAAAUGCGUAGAGAUGUGGAGGAACACCAGUGGCGAAGGCGACUCUUUGGCCUGUAACUGACACUGAGGCGCGAAAGCCAGGGGAGCAAACGGG
rnacentral:rRNA from 1 species